UGUAUGACAAACUGACAGACCGAGUAGUUUGAAGUGACAUUGAAUGUGAACCAGUUCAAACCAGCAUCCUCAGUGGGGUUCCUCAGUAAAGCACCAGCCAUGAGCUGGAGAAGUGCUAGGCCAUGUAGGAGAAGGAGCACACUGGAUAAGGAGCCGAGCUGCUUCACAGCCCUGCAGUUUAUUUGCAUCUAUAUGAAAUUUUAAAUAAACUUCGUCUGGUCCUGGAGAUUUAUUGCAAACUACACAGAAGGGCCAGGACUGGUGCAGAGCUUUUCCACAUGGAAAGACUGAUGCAGAGAGCUCACAAGGUACCCAAACAAAAGCAGAGAUGGUCGGUGAGCCUAAAAUGCCUCCUAGACGAGAAGGCACGAUGAAUCCUGAGCGAUGCAGUCCUGUGGAGCAGGAUCAGAUGGACCCUCCUGGGGCAGGGUCAGGCUCCACAGCUUCCCCCAACAGCAAGUUGUGUGGUUUGUAUUUUGCUUCUACAGUGCAACAGAUGCUAUAUUUAACUUCUUACUUCACUUCCAGCUGUUUAGUUUUUAAACAAAAUCUGAGCUUAGAAAUACUAGUCAGCUGGUCACCAACUAACCAUCAGUUAGAAAGCUGUCCCUGACCCCUGUACAGCCCUCACUUCUGAGGUACCUUCCCCUUUGGCAAUAGUUUAACGUGGUGAAUCAUUGUAUUAUUGCAUGCACCAAAUUUGAUGAGAUCCUGGGUCUGGCUUGGAAAGAAUUUCAUUAAAAAUAAUAAAAUAGAUGAACAGUGGAUAAACAGGGGGUCUUGUUCUGGGCUUCUGAAGGUCUGUGCUUCCAGCAUGUCGUUAGAAAUUACAGUGGCAGCUAAGAAAAAAGUGGGUGGGUGGAGGAGGAUUCUCAUAUAAACAUUUCAAGGAGCUUUGAGACAUGCCAGUAAAUAUUUCAGGUUCCUAGUACAGUCGUGACCGCAGGUAUUAUGAUAAGGAAAAGCCUAACCAAAGCCCUCCAGACAGCCCCACAGAAUGGUGAGAACAUUCCACCAAAGAUGUCCUUCUGCCCUACGAGACACAGGACCUCAGAGAUGUUAGCAAAGUGAAUCUAGUGCAACGUACAUUAGGCACGCAAGAGAUUUUCACAAGUCCAGAAAGGACUAGAUGAGCAGACAAUGCCCAGGGAUCACAUGGGAGCAGGGAGGUACUCUUCCCCGAAAAAGGGUAAAGUAGAGAGGUAAGUAGAAUGAAGAGAUGCAUUUUACUUAACUUUUUCAGCUCAUAGAUAGUUUACCUCUUCUUAAUUCUAUCUAGAUUUACAAAUAUUACAAAGCGUUAGUGAUUUGUUGAGCUAGGCUUGGAACAGAAAUAUUAUUUGCUAAGCAUUUUAACCUGGUUAUUGUCCUAGGAUAAUUCAUAGUCCUAGGAGACCUCAUUGCUCUCUACAACUGCCUGAAAGGAAGGUGUGAGGAGCUGGGGGUCGGCCUCUUCUCGCAGAUGACUAGAGAUAGGACUAGAGAGAAUGGCCUCAAGCUGUGCCAGGGGAGGUUCAGGUUGGAAAUGAGGAGACAUUUCUUCUCAGAACGAGCAGUCAGG